rnacentral:lncRNA from 1 species
ACCCCUGAAAACCUUUAUAUAUUUCAAUGAAAUUAUAGCUAGACACUUUUGCACAGGACCGUCGAAAGUUGAAGACAAGGGUAAAGAAGUCAUUUCCUCCACUUUCUCUCUUUUGAAACCUAAGAAACGAAUAAAAUAAUAGACACGUUGUGUGAAGCAAACAACUACAAAUUUGUAAUGGUGCCGGGCAAAUCUCUGCCGUGUGUAUCGGCUAAUUACACGUUUAUGCAGUGUGUCAGCAAAAUUUAGCUACGUUUAUUUAUAGCCAAACCCAAUAAUGUACUUGAUCUUCAUUUUUUUUUCCAUCUAAAUGCUGUAUCUUCACCUUUGUCUGUAUGCACUGUACUUUUUUUUUCUGCAGCUCAAUUCUUAGGCCAUCCUCAAUGGGAGUUUCAUGACACAGUUUCCAACACAUCAAUAUUUUGGAAACAGUGCAUAGGAGUUUCAUGGGGAUGAAACUCUCUCUACUCCCAUGAAACUCUUAUCAUCUCCCUCUUCAUUAAUAUAGCGCCACAUCAGCAUAUUUAAUGUGCAUGAAACUCUAAUGAAACCCCAUUGAGACUGGCCUCGGUCUGUUGACAUUUAUUGUUGUUUGUACAUUUAUGAGGCACACUCCAUAUAGCACUCAAUAUCGU